rnacentral:rRNA from 1 species
GACGAACGCUGGCGGCGUGCCUAAUACAUGCAAGUCGAGCGAAGCGGGGACGGGUGAGUAACACGUGGGUAACCUCCCAUCAGAGGGGAUAACACUUGGAAACAGGUGCUAAACCGAUACUGAUGGAUGGACCCGCGGGUCAUUAGCUAGUUGGUGGGGUAACGGCUCACCAAGGCCACGAUGCAUAGACGACCUGAGAGGGUGAUCAGCCACACUGGGACUGAGACACGGCCCAGACUCCUACGGGAGGCAGCAGUAGGGAAUCUUCGGCAAUGGACGAAAGCCUGACCGAGCAACGCCGCGUGUGUGAAGAAGGUUUUCGGAUCGUAAAGCUCUGUUGUUAGAGAGGCGGUAUCUAACCAGAAAGCCACGGCUAACUACGUGCCAGCAGCCGCGGUAAUAC